AGUCACACCCAGGACCGAUUACUCCUGAUCUCAAUCAAGAAAGCACUUAAAUACGGGGUGCAGACCAUCAGAUCCUCAAAACCUAGACGUCCAAAGGAAGUGAGAGCUUUCAGUUUGGAAAAAACUCCAGUGAACCACGGUGAGAGCUGUUAUCCGCGAACGGUGAAGCGGCCGACUAAAAUUACAGCAGGAGCACGGCCACAACUCACCCGCAGAAGACCCCACGGCCACAACUCACCCGCAGAAGAACCCACGGCCACAACUCAGAAGACCCCACAGCCACAACUCACCCACAGAAGACCCCACGGCCACAACUCACCCACAGAAGACCCCACGGCCACAACUCACCCACAGAAGACCCCACGGCCACAACUCAGAAGACCCCACAGCCACAACUCACCCACAGAAGACCCCACGGCCACAACUCACCCACAGAAGACCCCACAGCCACAACUCACCCACAGAGACCCCACGGCCACAACUCACCCACAGAAGACCCCACGGCCACAACUCACCCGCAGAAGACCCCACAGCCACAACUCACCCACAGAAGACCCCACGGCCACAACUCACCCACAGAAGACCCCACGGCCACAACUCACCCACAGAAGACCCCACGGCCACAACUCACCCACAGAAGACCCCACGGCCACAACUCACCCGCAGAAGACCCCACAGCCACAACUCACCCACAGAAGACCCCACAGCCACAACUCACCCACAGAAGACCCCACGGCCACAACUCACCCACAGAAGACCCCACGGCCACAACUCACCCGCAGAAGACCCCACAGCCACAACUCACCCACAGAAGACCCCACGGCCACAACUCACCCACAGAAGACCCCACGGCCACAACUCAGAAGACCCCACAGCCACAACUUACCCACAGAAGACCCCACGGCCACAACUCACCCACAGAAGACCCCACAGCCACAACUCACCCACAGAAGACCCCACAGCCACAACUCACCCGCAGAAGACCCCACGGCCACAACUCACCCGCAGAAGACCCCACAGCCACAACUCACCCGCAGAAGACCCCACGGCCACAACUCACCCACAGAAGACCCCACGGCCACAACUCACCCGCAGAAGACCCCACGGCCACAACUUACCCGCAGAAGACCCCACGGCCACAACUCACCCACAGAAGACCCCACGGCCACAACUCACCCGCAGAAGACCCCACGGCCACAACUUACCCACAGAAGACCCCACAGCCUCAACUCACCCGCAGAAGACCCCACGGCCACAACUCACCCACAGAAGACCCCACGGCCACAACUCACCCGCAGAAGACCCCACGGCCACAACUCACCCGCAGAAGACCCCACGGCCACAAUUCACCCGCAGAAGACCCCACGGCCUCAACUCACCCGCAGAAGACCCACCCGCAGAAGACCCCACGGCCACAACUCACCCGCAGAAGACCCCACGGCCACAACUCACCCGCAGAAGACCCCACGGCCACAACUCACCCGCAGAAGACCCCACGGCCACAACUCACCCGCAGAAGACCCCACGGCCACUACUCACCCGCAGAAGACCCCACGGCCACAACUCACCCGCCGAAGACCCCACAGCCACAACUCACCCGCAGAAGACCCCACAGCCACAACUCACCCGCAGAAGACCCCACAGCCACAACUCACCCGCAGAAGACCCCACGGCCACAACUCACCCGCAGAAGACCCCACGGCCACAACUCACCCGCAGAAGACCCCACGGCCACAACUCACCCGCAGAAGACCCCACGGCCACAACUCACCCACAGAAGACCCCACGGCCACAACUCACCCGCAGAAGACCCCACAGCCACAACUCACCCGCAGAAGACCCCACGGCCACAACUCACCCGCAGAAGACCCCACGGCCACAACUCACCCACAGAAGACCCCACGGCCCUCAACUCACCCACAGAAGACCCCACGGCCACAACUCACCCGCAGAAGACCCCACGGCCACAACUCACCCGCAGAAGACCCCACGGCCACAACUCAAAUUCAGGCUCACUUGUCUCGGUCAGGAUCGGUGGUCAUGACCUGCACGGCAUGGUGUCAACACAGAAACCAUUUUGCAAGGUGUGUUAUGCCAUGA
ensembl:lncRNA